GUCGGAUUAGCUAGUUGGUGGGGUAAAGGCCUACCAAGGCGACGAUCCGUAGCUGGUCUGAGAGGAUGAUCAGCCACACUGGGACUGAGACACGGCCCAGACUCCUACGGGAGGCAGCAGUGGGGAAUUUUGGACAAUGGGGUCAACCCUGAUCCAGCCAUUCCGCGUGAGUGAAGAAGGCCUUCGGGUUGUAAAGCUCUUUCGGACGGAACGAAACGGUCAGGACCAAUACUUCUGACUAAUGACGGUACCGUAAGAAGAAGCACCGGCUAACUACGUGCCAGCGGCCGCGGUAAUACGUAGGGUGCGAGCGUUAAUCGGAAUUACUGGGCGUAAAGCGUGCGCAGGCGGUUAUUUAAGACAGGUGUGAAAUCCCCGGGCUUAACCUGGGAAUUGCGCUUGUGACUGGAUAGCUAGAGUGCGGCAGAGGGGGGUGGAAUUCCACGUGUAGCAGUGAAAUGCGUAGAGAUGUGGAGGAACACCGAUGGCGAAGGCAGCCCCCUGG
rnacentral:rRNA from 1 species